rnacentral:rRNA from 1 species
UACGAAGGGUGCAAGCGUUACUCGGAAUUACUGGGCGUAAAGGGUGCGUAGGCGGUUCGUUAAGUCUGUCGUGAAAUCCCCGGGCUCAACCUGGGAAUGGCGAUGGAUACUGGCGAGCUAGAGUGUGUCAGAGGAUGGUGGAAUUCCCGGUGUAGCGGUGAAAUGCGUAGAGAUCGGGAGGAACAGCAGUGGCGAAGGCGGCCAUCUGGGACAACACUGACGCUGAAGCACGAAAGCGUGGGGAGCAAACAGG